GAUGAACGCUGUCGGCGUGCCUAAUACAUGCAAGUCGAGCGAACAGACGAGGAGCUUGCUCCUCUGACGUUAGCGGCGGACGUGUGAGUAACACGUGGAUAACCUACCUAUAAGACUGGGAUCACUUCGGGAAACCGGAGCUAAUACCGGAUAAUAUAUUGAACCGCAUGGUUCAAUAGUGAAAGACGGUUUUGCUGUCACUUAUAGAUGGAUCCGCGCCGCAUUAGCUAGUUGGUAAGGUAACGGCUUACCAAGGCAACGAUGCGUAGCCGACCUGAGAGGGUGAUCAGCCACACUAGAACUGAGACACGGUCCAGACUACUACGGGAGGCAGCAGUAGGGAAUCUUCCGACAUGGGCGAAAGCCUGACGGAGCAACGCAGCGUGAGCGAUGAAGGUCUUCGGCUCGUAAAACUCUGUUAUUAGGGAAGAACAAAUGUGUAAGUAACUGUGCACGUCUUGACGGUACCUAAUCAGAAAGCCACGGCUAACUACGUG
rnacentral:rRNA from 1 species